GGCUGUUUGAUCCGAGUGAAAUGAACUGUGACUGUCGGACUAUGACUACCACGUAUAAGCAGCCGAAGAAACAAGAAUAUUAUCCGGAAGAAGAAAAGUUGGAACACUCUCAUAUUCAACCCACACGACCACAUCUGAAAGGGGGGAAAGGGACCGAAAUGAUAGCGUUGCAAGUUUGACUGACUCUCACACAUACCAGGGAUGAAAGUAUAAGGGUUGCAGAGUGUUAAGGAAGUGAGCAUCAGCGGUUUGGGUUGUUAAUGUUUUAUAUUUGUAAACGUGUAUUUAUUUGCCUCUAUGGACGUGCGUUUAUGUUGUACUAUCGUAAUAACCACUAUGAGUGGAGCAUGUAUAACGGCGCAUGCCCCAUGCACCUACAAGAGCGAAAGAGAUGUGUAUUGAGGUGCUUCUCGCAAGUGCCAGGUGCAGUCAGUUAUCAACUGUAUGGAUAAUUAAAUCAUCAAUCAAGAGGCUCGACUGUUUGAUGCGUUUGUCCAAAGCCAAUCAGAUUCCAGAGAACUUGGAAGCACAGCUCGAGAGGAAAAGCUGUUAUUGGUCGCAGUCAGGUGAUAGUGCGUUACAGACUUGAAGAAGGGGAUCCCGCUUUACUGCAGCUGUCGCAUGGAAACACGGCUAUCUUUGGAUUCCAACUCCCUGCAGGACUGCUGUUCUGUGCUGGGAAAGGAGCAGCUAUCAUGAUGGAAUUGCUCCCCAGAAAUGUUACAUCUGUGCUAAAACUUAGGAGGAGGAGGAGAAUUCACAGGUGGUGGUGGGAAAAGAAUCGAAUGGAAUGGAAUCCCCAAACUAAAUAAGAGAGGGGGAUGAGAGGAGGAGGAGAACAGGACGGUGUCAUUUCCUGUACAUGAGAACAUACCCCAAAGCUGCUCUACAUUUCACUGUUUCAAUGUCGCCCCUAAAUAAGUUCACAAACCACAAGUACGGUAUAUGAUCCAUUACGGUAAGUAAGAUUUAUGUUGAAGAUAAUUCAAUGUCUUACAUAAAGUAUGACUACUUUUAUGACUACAUAUAUCCUAUAUACCGCUGACAGCUUCUAACAACGAUGGUGAGUAUCUAGUAUGUCUGAGGC